AACUAACAAGGUCUCCGUUGGUGAACCAGCGGAGGGAUCAUUACUGAGUUUACGCUCUACAACCCUUUGUGAACAUACCUAUAACUGUUGCUUCGGCGGGCAGGGUCUCCGUGACCCUCCCGGCCUCCCGCCCCCGGGCGGGUCGGCGCCCGCCGGAGGAUAACCAAACUCUGAUUUAACGACGUUUCUUCUGAGUGGUACAAGCAAAUAAUCAAAACUUUUAACAACGGAUCUCUUGGUUCUGGCAUCGAUGAAGAACGCAGCGAAAUGCGAUAAGUAAUGUGAAUUGCAGAAUUCAGUGAAUCAUCGAAUCUUUGAACGCACAUUGCGCCCGCCAGCAUUCUGGCGGGCAUGCCUGUUCGAGCGUCAUUUCAACCCUCAAGCUCUGCUUGGUGUUGGGGCCCUACAGCUGAUGUAGGCCCUCAAAGGUAGUGGCGGACCCUCCCGGAGCCUCCUUUGCGUAGUAACUUUACGUCUCGCACUGGGAUCCGGAGGGACUCUUGCCGUAAAACCCCCAAUUUCCAAAGGUGACCUCGAUCAGUAGAUGCCAGUC
rnacentral:rRNA from 1 species